rnacentral:rRNA from 1 species
UAGGGAAUCUUCGGCAAUGGACGAAAGUCUGACCGAGCAACGCCGCGUGAGUGAAGAAGGUUUUCGGAUCGUAAAACUCUGUUGUUAGAGAAGAACAAGGACGUUAGUAACUGAACGUCCCCUGACGGUAUCUAACCAGAAAGCCACGGCUAACUACGUGCCAGCAGCCGCGGUAAUACGUAGGUGGCAAGCGUUGUCCGGAUUUAUUGGGCGUAAAGCGAGCGCAGGCGGUUUCUUAAGUCUGAUGUGAAAGCCCCCGGCUCAACCGGGGAGGGUCAUUGGAAACUGGGAGGCGUGAGGGCAGAAGAGGAGAGUGGAAUUCCAUGUGUAGCGGUGAAAUGCGUAGAUAUAUGGAGGAACACCAGUGGCGAAGGCGGCUCUCUGGUCUGUAACUGACGCUGAGGCUCGAAAGCGUGGGGAGCAAACAGG